GCGUCUUUAGCUCAGUGGACAGAGCGCCAUACUACGGAUAUGGAGGUCGUAGGUUCGAAUCCUACAAGGUGCU
rnacentral:tRNA from 1 species